GAACAGAGAAGCGACCACUUUCUGGAAGCCACAUAGGACUUGGACACUUCCAUCAGCGCUCCACUAUAGUACCUGAAUGAGGCCCACCCUGCUUCACAUGUAAAGAAUCUGAGGCACGGAGAAACAUUACAAGUAGCCUGCCCAAAGUCUCAGAGUAGGUCCUUAGGAGCAGGACCUCCAAGGUAGUCCAGCUCCAGAAUGUGUGCUCCUAAAUAACAUGGUCUCUGGUGUUUCCUGACACAAAAUAUACAUGAGAAUUACCUGGGAGUCUUUCCAAAUAACCCAGGUCUCACUGAAGACACACUGUACCAGCAGCUUUCUCAGGGAUUGUUCAUGGACUCAGUAUGUAUGUUGGAAAAGUUCCCCAGGUAAUUCCGAUUUCUAUUCCUAGCUAAAAACCACUGCUUCGAGGCUCAAGUCCUACCUGUGAUAACAGAGGUUCUUUAUCCUGUCUACACGUCAGCAGGAUCUGGGGAGCUUUCAAUACUCACCAGUGCCAGGAUUCCAGCCUGCACCGAUGGAGUUGGCAUCUGGGGGUGGGGCCUGAGUGUCAAUUGUUUUUUAAAAUUUCCCCAUCAUUCUAAUGUGCAGCCACAUUUCCCAUUGGAUUUCUUUCUGUCUUCUCUUGUAGCAUUUAUACCUUUUUAUUUUUAUAUUAUAAUACUUUUUCAUGUCUUAUCUCCUGUCUUAGGCAUUAUGUUCCUAGCCUUUCUCAUUUCUGUGUCUUUCAUGGAGUCUGUCACCCACAUUUGUAGCACAGUAGGUGCUCAAUAAGCAUUUCCCGAACACAUGGAUUGGUCAUCAGAAAAAGAUCGCAGUCACAGCCCAGAAAAUCUACCUUGAGCUAUGUAUUCCUAAGAAGAGAGGUGUGAUCCAACAGCUGGUCCCAGGGUCCAUAGAUGCCUGAUAAGGCCCCCGACAGGCCUGUACCUGCAGACAGACCUUGUAGGAUUGUGAUCUGCCUGGGUGACUCUGAUUCAAUGUCUGCAUUGCCCUGUGCCUCCGUUUCCCCUCAAUAAAAUCAAGUAAAUGGUCUCAGGCUUGCCGUGUUGUCUGUAAUUAACCUUAAAUCCUUCACCAUUACCUGACCUAAGGCUUGGUAUAGAGGAGCUGCCCAAAUAAACAUGUUACUUGCCUGCAUGAGAGACGGCUCCCUCGGCCUGAUCCCUGGUGUGGGAGUUGCUGCCAGGAGCAUCUUCUCUCCUCUGUUCCUCCCUGGGGGCGCUGACCUUCUUCUGGGGUCUCCUAUCCCGCAGGGCCAUCAGACUGUGGCCCAGAGACCUUGCCUAUCUCUGUUCUCCACCCCAAGUCUCAUGUGAAAGAUCAGGCUCUGCCCCUCCCCAGAUGUGGCUCUUGGUGCCAAGCCCUGGCCGGUGACCAGCUCAGGAACCUCAGGACUCAGGCAGCCAGGGAAUUGUUGCUCCCAGUCCCCCCUGACAGGAAGCCAAAACCCACGUCUGGAAUGGACUCCUCAGGGUCACUGGAGUCAGGAGCCCUGAGACAGGGGUCUGGGCAGGGGCUUUCUGGGCUGAGCUCUGGUGGGGAUCCCAGGGGCCCAUUAAGCCUGACCCUGACUGAGCCCUGCAGGGUCUUUCUCAGGGUCACAUGGAAGAGUCCAGCGUUUUGGACUGAAUCUCUCUCCCUCUGAGUUACUCCCAUCAGAGUGGUCCUUCUGUUUGCUGCAAAUGUGCUGUGGCUGGAAUCCAGGAAGGGAAUUCAGAGCUUAGGAAGUUUGUCUCCACUGUGUGUGUCCCACACUAAAUGUUCCAACCCGAUACAGGACAUAAGGCAGAGGGGAGGGAGGUGCAAUCCAGCCCUGUGAUCCUGUUGUGUGAAGUAGAACUCACCCCACCCAACACCAGAGGGGAGA